GACGUAGGGCGCAAGCGUUGUCCGGAAUUAUUGGGCGUAAAGAGCUCGUAGGCGGUUUGUUGCGUCGGCUGUGAAAUCCCGAGGCUCAACCUCGGGUCUGCAGUCGAUACGAGCAAACUAGAGUGUUGCAGGGGAGACUGGAAUUCCUGGUGUAGCGGUGAAAUGCGCAGAUAUCAGGAGGAACACCGGUGGCGAAGGCGGGUCUCUGGGCAACAACUGACGCUGAGACGCGAAAGCGUGGGGAGCAAACAGG
rnacentral:rRNA from 1 species